UACGUAGGUGGCAAGCGUUGUCCGGAUUUACUGGGCGUAAAGCGCCCGCAGGCGGCUUGGCAAGUUUGGGGUGAAAUCUCCCGGCUCAACUGGGAGGGUGCCUCGAAAACUGCCAGGCUUGAGGCAUGGAGAGGGAUGCGGAAUUCCCGGUGUAGUGGUGAAAUGCGUAGAUAUCGGGAGGAACACCAGUGGCGAAGGCGGCAUCCUGGACCGACAUUGACGCUGAGGAGCGAAAAGCUAGGGGAGCAAACGGG
rnacentral:rRNA from 1 species